CAUCUUUGAGAAACUACUGUAGUACUUAAGUACUAAUUGAGCUUAACAUCUCCUCAAAACUU
rnacentral:tRNA from 1 species